UCAAGAAACUUCCACAAUGGGCGAAAGCCUGAUGGAGCGACGUCGCGUGAUGGACGAAGUGCUUCGGCACGUAAACAUCUUUUAUGUGGGAUGAAAUUAUUGACAGUACCACAUGAAUAAGGGGCUCCUAACUCUGUGCCAGCAGGAGCGGUAAUACAGAGGCCCCAAGCGUUAUCCGGAAUCACUGGGCGUAAAGGGUGUCGAGGCGGUUGUAUUAGUCGUUCGUAAAAUCUACGAGCUUAACUUGUAGGCGGCGAACGAAACGGUACGACUUGAGGUUUGGAGAGGUGCGUGGAACUCACGGUGUAGGGGUGAAAUCCGUUGAUAUCGUGGGGAACACCAAAGGCGAAGGCAGCGCACUGGCCAAAAUCUGACGCUCACACACGAAAGCUAGGGUAGCGAAGAGGAUUAGGUACCCAAGUAGUCCCUGAGCGGGCUGGCAAGGCGCAU
rnacentral:rRNA from 1 species